rnacentral:rRNA from 1 species
AUGGGGCGCCUUGGCUCUUCCACACUUGCCACGGUCUCAGAACUGAUAGAUGAUUACACAGGCAGUUGGAAUGUGGAAAUCAUUCAAGAAAAUUUCUUGCAACCGGAUGUUGAAGCUGUCCUCAAUAUACCUCUUAACAGCAACGGUGGUCAAGAUUCUUUGGCAUGGGCCUUAGAGAAAUCUGGCAACUACUCUGUAAAAUCCGCGUAUUGCUCUCUUGUGACUCAGAACGAGCACCACGCUCUAGAGGAAGGGACGAUUACAGAAACUUCAUCAACUAACAAACAGAUGUGGGAUGCCCUUUGGAAACUACAUGUGGUUCCAAAAGUCUGUGUAUUCUGGUGGAGAGUUCUCUGGGGAAUACUACUAGAUUCAGUCACUUUACAAUACCGACACAUCAAGCCAUUGCACCGGUGUGAUAUCUGCAAAGCAAUGGAUGAAGACUUGCUUCAUGCAUUAGUUCACUGCUCGCAUGCAAGGCAGUUCUGGAUUGCAGCUGCAGAUAGAUUUCAGCUUCGUCUACCUCAUUUGCAUCCGGAUACUUGGGCACAUGAUAUUCUUAUGGAUUCUCAGUUUGAAGAGGAAGAACGCUGCAGGAUUUUCACGAUCAUGCAUAGUAUAUGGUCCUCACGCAACUGUUGGACUCAUGAUCGUGAUGGCUAUGACCCAGUUCAAGCCCUGAAGUGGAUUCAUGAAAACUUGGCUAUUCUGGACCUUCCACCAUCGCGCAAGAAGGGCUCGGAAGCUCAGUGUUGGCGCCCUCCCGAGGCAGGUUGGGUUACUAUAAACACUGAUGCUGCUGUCAGUAUUGAGAACAUGAAGGCAUGA